GACGAACGCUGGCGGCGUGCUUAACACAUGCAAGUCGAGCGGUAAGGCCCUUUCGGGGGUACACGAGCGGCGAACGGGUGAGUAACACGUGGGUGACCUGCCCUCAGCUCUGGGAUAAGCCUGGGAAACCGGGUCUAAUACUGGAUAUGACUCCAUGACGCAUGUUGUGGGGUGGAAAGCCUUGUGCGGCUGAGGAUGGGCCCGCGGCCUAUCAGCUUGUUGGUGGGGUGAUGGCCUACCAAGGCGACGACGGGUAGCCGGCCUGAGAGGGCGACCGGCCACACUGGGACUGAGACACGGCCCAGACUCCUACGGGAGGCAGCAGUGGGGAAUCUUGCGCAAUGGGCGAAAAGCCUGACGCAGCGACGCCGCGUGAGGGAUGACGGCCUCGGU
rnacentral:rRNA from 1 species